rnacentral:rRNA from 1 species
CGGAUCGUAAAGCUCUGUUGCCAGGGAAGAACGCCUAGGAGAGUAACUGCUCCUAGGGUGACGGUACCUGAGAAGAAAGCCCCGGCUAACUACGUGCCAGCAGCCGCGGUAAUACGUAGGGGGCGAGCGUUGUCCGGAAUUAUUGGGCGUAAAGCGCGCGCAGGCGGCAAUGUAAGUUGGGUGUUUAAACCUAGGGCUCAACCUUGGGUCGCAUCCAAAACUGCAUAGCUUGAGUACAGAAGAGGAAAGUGGAAUUCCACGUGUAGCGGUGAAAUGCGUAGAGAUGUGGAGGAACACCAGUGGCGAAGGCGACUUUCUGGGCUGUAACUGACGCUGAGGCGCGAAAGCGUGG